rnacentral:rRNA from 1 species
AGAAUCAACGCUGGCGGCGUGCCUAACACAUGCAAGUCGCACGAGAAAGGGUAGCAAUACCUGAGUACAGUGGCGCACGGGUGAGUAACACGUGAAUAAUCUACCUCCGAGUGGGGAAUAACUGAGAGAAAUCUUAGCUAAUACCGCAUAAUACCCACGGGUCAAAGCAGCAAUGCGCUUGGAGAGGAGUUCGCGGCAGAUUAGUUAGUUGGCGGGUAAUGGCCCACCAAGACGAUGAUCUGUA